UUUAAUCACAUAAAAGUACGACAUUAUUUUAGUUAAAUUAUGAGUUUUUUAAAACUACAACUUUAUUCUCAUAAUAUUAUGGCUUUAUUCUCAAAAUAUUACAACUUUAUUCUCAUAAAAUUAUGACUCUUUUUGUAUUCAACUUUAUUCUCAUAAAAUUAUGGGUUUUAUCUCAAUAUUUUACAACUUUAUUCUUGUAUUGACAAGUGUUAUUAUUUUCUUAUGUCGCCCUAAUACACCAU